GGACUUUCCAACCUCCAAACCAUUGGAUUGAAAAAUGGCGAAGCCAAUCCAUUUUUCUUUUGUACAAUUGGCUCCGGCUGUAACUCGAACUCCAAACCUUACAGCUUUGGAGAAGAACCAGCACUAAUAAAUUAAAACUCAUUGGUAACAUUACUUUAAAUACAUUUUCGCUGAUUCUAAGGCUCUUAUUAGCUCAAGAUCUGUUCCAAAAUGUAAAAUUUAUUGUAAUACAAUUAAGUACUCUUACACAAGGUUUUGAAACAAAACUGAUAACAAGAAAUCCCUAGAAUUUUUCUCCUGCUAUGAUCCAUAACAGUAAUCCAAACCAAGUGAAAAUAUGGAUGGAAAAAUCUACAGUGGCAAUCAGCAAAAUUUCCCACAUUGAGAUGCUUCUUGCAAGAACUGAGAAAAUUCUUAAUUAAUUUAAUCCCAUUUGAACUUAAAAGCUGUGAUCCACACCUACAUUCAUCAAUGACAGCUCUCAAAAUCCAAUGUUGCUCCAAAUGAUUUAGUUCCAGUUCUUCUUCAGACUAAUCAUACUUUUCCCUCCAAGUAUACACCAGAAAGAACACCCAAGAAAGUGCCAGCAAAAGAUCUCCAAUCACCUGCUUUGGCCAAUGCCAAGCCAAAUCCUCAAGCCUCCUCUCAAAGUAAAACCUCCAAAGAGCCAUUGCUACAUGGAGAAGCACACACCCUUUAGCAAAAAAGCUUUGAAACUCUUUAUCCUUCACAAAUGCUACCAUGAACACUAAAAACCCAAUUACAAACAGAAGCAAACCCGCAAAGGAAUUGGAUAUUUGGAUCAGUAAUUGAUCAUGUGGGGUUGAACCUAAAAGCUUUUGAGCUGUCUCAGUGCCAUGUCCAAGAACAGAGAUGUCCUUAAGAUAGAACAUUAUUGAGGAGCCACAUGUUAUUGCAACUGUAGAAUGCAGAAUACAGAUGAUAGUAAACAUAGAGGAAACCAUCAAUACAAAGGAUACGCAAACCCUAGCGCAGUUGUUUCUAUCUUCCUUAUAUAUGGAUAGAUUCAUCACAAAAACCCCAUAACAGCAUAAGCCAAAGAACCCAUGAAAAAUUAAACCUUAAAAACUCAAGUAAUUUGAUAAUCAAUAUUGGUGAAAACUAAGAAUUAAACCUUAAAAACACAGAAGAGAACGAUCAGAGAAGAAGAGAAACGAACCCUUUAAUGAACAAUUGAAGGACUGUUUCUCAUCCUGAAAAGGCCAUAAAAUUGAAUGGAUUUAUAGUGGAAUUCUUGUGUUGAGAUCUGCUAUGAGAUUGAGAGUUUCAAUGUGGAUGCAUAGAGAGUCUGAUCUGUAAUUGGAAAUGAUCACCGAAGGAGCUGUGAGGACAAAUUGGCGGGGUUAUUGAGAUGUGUGCUGUCCCGUGGCAGCUGGAUUUGGCGCUUUGCUCCCUGAUUUUGUCUGCUUAUUGGUGUGGCAAUGAAGCACUGUUAGCGCUCCAAAAAACGUUAUUCUCGCUCCAUUGCUUC
rnacentral:misc_RNA from 1 species